rnacentral:misc_RNA from 1 species
GAUGAAGAACGUAGCGAAAUGCGAUAAGUAGUGUGAAUUGCAGAAUUCAGUGAAUCAUCGAAUCUUUGAACGCACAUUGCGCCCCUUGGUAUCCCGAGGGGCAUGCCUGUUCGAGCGUCAUUUCACCACUCAAGCCUGGCUUGGUGUUGGGCGACGUCCCCUUUGGGGACGCGCCUCGAAACGCUCGGCGGCGUGGCACCGGCUUUAAGCGUAGCAGAAUCUUUCGCUUUGGAAGUCGGGGCCCCGUCUGCCGGAAGACCUACUCGCAAGGUUGACCUCGGAUCAGGCAGGGAUACCCGCUGAACUUAAGCAUCUCAAUAAGCGGAGGA